rnacentral:rRNA from 1 species
CCUACGGGUGGCUGCAGUGGGGAAUAUUGGACAAUGGGGGGAACCCUGAUCCAGCCAUGCCGCGUGUGUGAAGAAGGCCCUCGGGUUGUAAAGCACUUUCAGUGAGGAAGAACGCCUGGUGGUUAAUACCCAUCAGGAAAGACAUCACUCACAGAAGAAGCACCGGCUAACUCCGUGCCAGCAGCCGCGGUAAUACGGAGGGUGCGAGUGUUAAUCGGAAUUACUGGGCGUAAAGCGCGCGUAGGUGGCUUGAUAAGCCGGUUGUGAAAGCCCCGGGCUCAACCUGGGAACGGCAUCCGGAACUGUCAAGCUAGAGUGCAGGAGAGGAAGGUAGAAUUCCCGGUGUAGCGGUGAAAUGCGUAGAGAUCGGGAGGAAUACCAGUGGCGAAGGCGGCCUUCUGGACUGACACUGACACUGAGGUGCGAAAGCGUGGGUAGCAAACAGGAUUAGAUACCCGAGUAGUC